CGCGUAGGUGGCCUGUUAAGUCGAACGUGAAAUACCCCGGGCUCAACCCGGGAACUGCGUCCGAGACUGGCAGGCUCGAAUCCGGGAGAGGGAUGUGGAAUUCCAGGUGUAGCGGUGAAAUGCGUAGAUAUCUGGAGGAACACCGGUGGCGAAGGCGGCAUCCUGGACCGGUAUUGACGCUGAGGCGCGAAAGCCAGGGGAGCAAACG
rnacentral:rRNA from 1 species